rnacentral:rRNA from 1 species
ACAGGGAGACAGGUGGUGCAUGGUUGUCGUCAGCUCGUGUCGUGAGAUGUUGGGUUAAGUCCCGCAACGAGCGCAACCCCUACGUUUAGUUGCUAACGCGUGAAGGCGAGCACUCUAGACGAACUGCCGUUGACAAAACGGAGGAAGGUGGGGAUGACGUCAAAUCAUCAUGCCCCUUAUGUUCUGGGCUACACACGUGCUACAAUGGCCGGUACAGACGGACGCAAAGCCGCGAGGUGGAGCAAAAUCCUAAAAAGCCGGUCUCAGUUCGGAUUGCAGGCUGCAACUCGACUCCAUGAAGUUGGAAUCGCUAGUAAUCGCGUAUCAGCAUGACGCGGUGAAUACGUUCCCGGGCCUU